AUCACUUAUAAAUUGAUAUUAUAUUAAUUAUCAAAGCCAAAAAAAAAUAUUUUCUAGAUUAUUAUUAUUUUAAGGGUGACUUAGUGGUCAAUGUUAAAUCUAUCACUCUGUAAAUUUAUUUAAGUAUCAUUUAACCGUUAACAUAAUCUCUACGUUGAUUUGGGGAGGGGUGGCCUAGCCCCUUAAGUUGUAUCUAUGAUUUGUGAAGAUCAUUAAAAUGUUUAAGAGGUUGAAUUUAUUUUUUUCGAUUGACGUUCGAGGGUCACAAAAAUGUGUGCCACAUGACAAGUUUCCUUAAAAUCUUCCGUCUAAUCUAUCCUGUAUACAGAGUCAUUUUUAGUGGUUGCUUGGAGGGGCGAUAAACUUAUAGAGGCGAAUUUUAAAAGGAAAGAGCAAAACCUUUAAAAUUUGUAGGUUGGGUUUGAUAUUUAAUAUUGUUCACAUACAAUCGAGCAACAAAGUAUAUCGUAAGACAAUUAUAUGUUAGCUAGGAUGUGCUGCUAUAGUUGAUUAAUUUUGAUAAAUACUGAAUUUUUUAAGAAUAACAAAUUCAAAUAGAAACUCCGUCUUACCCUUUAACAUAAAUUUUUUUUUAAAUAAUAUUUUUUUAUAUUAUCUCUACGUUUGGAGUCUUUUUGUAAAAGAAAAGAUUAUUUAAUAUUAAAUAAACAUUACAAUAAUAAUAUUAAUUCUUUUAUGAAAAUUAAAAAUUGUCAAUACAUUCCUAGAAAACAAGUGUCUUAUUCUUAAUCAAUAAUUAUGUAUUAAAUAUAGUUGGGCAAAUAUAAAAUAAAUAUAAAUAUAAUAUAAAAAUUGAAUAAAAAAAAAAUUAAUUAUGUUAUGAGUGCUAAAGAUAUAUACACCUGGAAAUAAUAAAAUUAUACAUAAGAGUACUGUAGUUAUAACAGUUCAUGCGUUUUGUGGCGAUUGUACUAUAGUCCGGUUGUCUUGUUCUACUUAUCACCUUCAAAAUGUGUAAACCCACCUCACCCAACCGGGCCUUAUUGUUUUGCUGUAUAAAUAUAUAUAUAUAUAUACUUAAAAACUGCCACAAAUUCAUUGAUUAUUAUCAAUUUGAUAGACAGAUAUUUAAGAAAUUAUGUAUACUGAAGUCGAUCAAACCACCUAGUAAGAACGACAAAUAUAAAUUAAAGAAAAGGCAAUGAGCAAACUGACAACGUGGUAUUGUUAAGCGUCAAGAACUAUUUUAAUGCUCUCUCCUUUGUAAUAACACAGACUUAUUGAAGCAACGUUACAGAUCAAAGUUAAAAAGAAAACCGUACAGUUUUAUUAAUGUUGAAGAGUGCACUCAGUAACCUGGCUCUCAGUUUAUAUACCGUUCAUACGAUCAAUUUGUCAUUACUACUUGAUUUUAUUUUAAAUAUAAUAGAAUCAUUAUAAUGGAUAAGGGUAGCCGACCCCAAGUAGUUGGGAUUGAGAUGAGGAAAAAGAAGAAGAAUUGACCUUUAAUUAGUAAAUUAAUAAAAUAAUUAUAUUUUAUAUAUAAGAAUGAUCUAUGAUGACUUUAUUGAGACUAGAGCGAAUUCAUAUGUUGUCAUUUGUGUGCCAUUUCGCAAACUAUUGACAAAUAUUAGCAUUUUUAUAAAUGCUCCUUUUGGGACAUUACCAUUUUCUUAUCAACAAGAGAACUGCCAAGAUUUCUGCCUCUCUUGUCGCUUUCAUGUCAAUAAUUUUUUCAUGUUUAACUCAAAAAGCCAACAUUCAAAUAUAUUAAAAACAAUUAAUUAUAUUGGAGUAGACAGAAAAAUUUCAAAGAGAUGUAAUGACUGAAAAAUAGUAGUGUCAAUGCUUCAAAAAAACUUGAAGAAAACAGAUAAAUCUGCCAGUUUUAGAUGAUUUUUUGUGCAAAAAAGUUUACUAAUCAAAGUGUUUAUUUACCAUUUAGAAUAAUUGAAAAUCCUGUUUCAAAGAAUGUAAUUGAAUGAGUUUUCCCCAACAGAAACUUAUGUCUCGGCCUACUUUAAUGAAAAGUAUUGAGAAUGACUUUCAUAAAUUAUACUUCUAAAUACAAUCUGAGAUGUUUAAAUGUGAUCAUAUUGUUACGACUAUAGAUGGUAAUAUAUCUUUUUAGAUCGUACAUUGGAAUAACAGUCACAUAGAUCAAUGAGGUUUUAUUAAGAACUACUCGUCUUCUAACAAUAAAAAGACUAGAAGGGUAACAUACAUAUGAUUAUAAACACAUAAACACAGUUUACAUUUCAGAUAAAUUAUGUUAUUGUACUACAUAUAACAGUUCUAAUUUUGUAAAAUGUUUUGAAACAUUAGUCAUGUACUUGAUGAAGCAAAUACUGAAAUUUCUAAUCAGUUGCUUGUGAACAAUUCAGUAGAAGUAGAUAAUGAAAUAAAAUAAAUUGAUGUCGCUAAUUUGAGCAUUCUAAAUAAUGAAGAAUUAGAUUCUUAGUAUAUGUUACCUAAAUAACUCAAAAACAUAAACAUUACCCAAAAUAAUCGAUGUUGUGCACACAAUUAAUUCUAUAGCAAUAGUGGUAUAGAAACAAAGUUUUCUGAUUCUUUGAUGAACAAAUUUUUAAUUACUGCUACUGUCUGUCAUCCACAAUUUAAAACUGCCUGGAUUAAAAAUGAAGUAAAAAACAAAUGGCCACCAAGUAUUUAAAAAAUAUUAUGAUCAAAUGUAUCAUUUAUCUAGCUUCUUUAUCGGGACAGAAAAUGUCCAUGAGGAAAAGUCAACAGUUAGUGAUGAAAUUAACAGAAUAUUGGGUAUAUCUACAGCAAAAAUAUUAGAAUGUUUACAUAAUUUACCCAAAAUUAAAAAAAUUUUUCAUUAAAUACAACACUUCUUUACCAAGCAGUACAUCAGUUGAGAUAGUUUUUAGUGUUGUUGGUGGUACAAUCACUAAAAAGAGGACUAACAUGUCUGAUAUACAUGUUGAAUAAAUAAUGUUUUUAAAGUGGAACCAAUACAAUUUUUUAUUAAAAUAAAUAACAUUCAAUCAUUUUUUUUGUUUGGUAUUGGAAGAUUAUUUCAAAUACAUAAUUAAUAGUAUUUGAUGUUAGAUAUCGGUAUUGGCCUAGGCGGAGCACUAAGGAAUUCGCUGACUUAGCCCUUUCGGUCUAAGCCAAUCAGCCCGAACCAUGUGCCACCACCACCGGCAAGGCAGUUUUAGCCAAGCAGAGCAUCUGUCCGAACAUCUGUCAGAACUUUGUGGAAUAACCCACUUAAAUCUGUAUUAAUUAUUUUAUUUCAUAUUAUUAUGUUAAAUUAUUAAUCCUGUUAAUAAAAUCAACCAUCAUAAGAUCCCUUAAAGGAACUAUCUGUUUGAAAUUAAUUUAUGCAGGAAGGAAUGCUGGUUUCCUAUUCAGUUAUAGUGAUGCUGACUUUGGAAGUGUUUUAAAGCCAGAAAAUCAACUUCUUAUUUUUAAUGCAUAGGUCAACAGUUGGUUGGACUAAUUGCAAACAAAGUAAAGUCAGAUUAUCUUCAACGUCUAUGUUGUGACAUAGACAUAGACCUGUGGGCAGUAUGUAAAUGUAUAUGGUUAAGAGAAUUAUAAUCACAAAUAGAAUGUAAUAUAGAUGGACCAACAGUACUAUUUGAAGAUAAUCAAGCUUGUAUUAAUCUUAUUUAUGAACCCAGGGCUCACUAGUGUCUUAAACAUUGACAUAAAAUAUGAA